rnacentral:rRNA from 1 species
ACGGGAGGCAGCAGUGGGGAAUAUUGCGCAAUGGGCGGAAGCCUGACGCAGCGACGCCGCGUGGGGGAUGACGGCCUUCGGGUUGUAAACCUCUUUCGGCCCCGACGAAGCGUGAGUGACGGUAGGGGUAGAAGAAGCACCGGCCAACUACGUGCCAGCAGCCGCGGUAACACGUAGGGUGCGAGCGUUGUCCGGAAUUAUUGGGCGUAAAGAGCUCGUAGGCGGUGUGUCGCGUCGGCCGUGAAAACCUGUGGCUUAACUGUGGGCUUGCGGUCGAUACGGGCAUCACUGGAGUUCGGCAGGGGAGACUGGAAUUCCUGGUGUAGCGGUGAAAUGCGCAGAUAUCAGGAGGAACACCGGUGGCGAAGGCGGGUCUCUGGGCCGAUACUGACGCUGAGGAGCGAAAGCGUGGGGAGCGAACAGGAUUAGAUACCCUGGUA